UACGGAGGGGACUAGCGUUGUUCGGAAUUACUGGGCGUAAAGCGCACGUAGGCGGCUUUGUAAGUCAGGGGUGAAAUCCCGGGGCUCAACCUCGGAACUGCCUUUGAUACUGCAAAUCUCGAGUCCGGAAGAGGUGAGUGGAAUUCCUAGUGUAGAGGUGAAAUUCGUAGAUAUUAGGAAGAACACCAGUGGCGGAGGCGGCGCACUGGUCCGGUACUGACGCUGAGGUGCGAAAGCGUGGGGAGCAAACAGG
rnacentral:rRNA from 1 species